rnacentral:lncRNA from 1 species
AAAACCAAAUCAAGCUGGCUAUGAUUGGCUAAAAAGAAACCCCAACUAUUUGCGAACAGUAGUGUUUUUAAUUUUCAGGGAAAAGUAUUAUCAGCUAGGCUGCAAAAACAUUGUUACACACUCAUUUUAAGCACAAAAUCUACCAACAAAGAUGAGAUUUUGAAAUGUAACUCAAUAGAACAAGUAGAGUUUAGAAACCAGGACAUAAAUUCAGUAAACUGGUAACACAUGCAAAUGCAACUCAAAUAAUAAUAUAUUGUAUUCCAAACUAACCAACCACCCACCCACCUCAGGAGCGCAAGCACUCUAAAACACCCAUCUGAAGUCUAAAACCAGUAAAGGCACUUCUUCUAUAGAUAUCUGUGACUAUAUUAAGUUGUUACUCUUGAAAUCUAUAAAAUAAGCAAAGACCAUUCUGAUGCUAGUUUCUGUGACCAAAUAUAAUUAGCCAUAUCCCAUCACAAAGAAAAAAAUAAAGCAUGAAUUCAGAAGGAAAGGAAAUGAAGAAUAAAAGGUAAAACAUGAUAGAAACAAAAAUCAUGUCCACAACGUGCAGCCAUUUGUGCCAACACUACUUCUCAUCACGGCCACUACAACAAGUCAUGGCUCCUAAUAUGAAACAAAUACUGUCAUCCGAAAGAAAAUAAAAAAAACUAGCUCGUUCCCAGCUUUUCCCUAUAAAUAAUCUGCUGUUAAUUUAUAGUACUGCCAUUAUUUUUCAGUGAAAAUCACUGAGAGCAUUAUUUACGCAACCAUCAGCAGCAGCACUAAAUUGCAAACACUAUCCCACCUGCCUGCAAAGCAUCAGAAGUGACAUCUACCAUCACUAGCACAACAAAUUCCAGGAAAACAAAGAACACGCAAGAGAAAAUGUUGACAUAUGGAAAGACGGAUAUUUUUCCAUCUGAUGGGCAUGCUUUUGUGAGUCACUUCCAUUAGUAGUGGUAGUCUUUUUAGGAUAUUAUUGAAGCAGAGAGGGGGAAAGAACAUGAUCAAGAAAAGAAAAGAAGAAAAGAAUGGCUUAGAAUUUAGGCAGAAUGAUUUAUUACAUACACGAUUCGCUCCUAUAUAUAGGCGUAGAAUCCUAUCAUUAGAAGGAUAAGAAAAAAGGGAAGAUAUAAAACCUAUUACUGAAAGAAAAAAUGAAUUUUAAUUCCUAGCUAGACUAGGAUGUAAGCUAAAGGAAAUAUUUCCAUGAUUCCUAUUCUAACGGCCACUAUUCUGGUUGGAACUCCUAGUAGUACAAGCCAAAAAUUAUUUGAAAAACCAGUUAAUAUAGCCCAAAAAAACCUAAUUAAUAUAGCAAAAAUCCAUGUUUUAAUACAUAGUACAAGAAAAGGCCAUAAUAUUGUACAUUAACAGCAGCAGCCAUGCUUUUUACAUUACAGUUAGAUCACAUCCCCAACAUAUUCCACUGCCUUGGCUUCUUAAGUGUCUUGCUGGAACCGAAAAGGUAUAGAUUCAUCCAGUCUAAACUUCAGAAAAUGGGCUUCCUGUUUAGAAACUUGAGUUGCACUUAUCCAUACUUGUACAGGCAUCAUAAACCUCUAUUAAAAAAAAAAAAAAAACACUCCAUCGUAAAUAUAUGCAUCACAUUUCUUUCCAAGACACACCAUCAAAAAUAAAAUCCAAAAAUAGAUGCUGUAAACAGUAACACCCUCCAAAACCAAAAGCAACUAUAAAAAAUUUAUAUACCAGAACUACACUCUAAUUUCAUGCCGCUUUUAAGAAAUUUACAGAACUGUUUGAUUUGUUGAUGUAUGUGCAAGUCUCCUAGCAUCUGCCCUCGUUGCUCUAGAACUCGAACUAUCAUCAUCAUUUGUUGUUGUGAAUUCAUCCUCUAUGUUUUGAAGAUCAGUUUGCUUAGUCAUCAUUUCUGCAGUAAACGAAUGUCCACCGUCACUACCCUUAUCCAUAGGCAUGGAAGCUGCUGGUCCAUUAUUUAUACAAUCAGUUUCAAAUUGCAGCCCGACGCCAGGGGAAGCAUGAAUUGAAAAGUUUCGUCAUGUUUGGCUCAAUAAAGCUCAUUCACUUUUAACAAAUGAUGUUCCCCUUCGAUGGUGGAGGAAAAUCGAUUUGGGGUUAGGGUUCAUUCAUGGACACAAUUUGAGGAUGGUUUGGAGAAGAGAGAGCUAAAGGUUUCAAUUCAAUGGGCUAAGGCGUGUUUGGAAUUGCACUUUAAAUGAGCUGGCAUUUGAUUUCUUAUUUUGGAGAGAGUUAACA